UACAGAGGGGGCAAGCGUUGUUCGGAAUUACUGGGCGUAAAGGGUGCGUAGGUGGCGCCGUAAGUCAGGUGUGAAAUUUCGGAGCUUAACUCCGAAACUGCAUUUGAUACUGCGGUGCUUGAGGACUGGAGAGGAGACUGGAAUUCACGGUGUAGCAGUGAAAUGCGUAGAUAUCGUGAGGAAGACCAGUGGCGAAGGCGGGUCUCUGGACAGUUCCUGACACUGAGGCACGAAGGCCAGGGGAGCAAACGGG
rnacentral:rRNA from 1 species